rnacentral:rRNA from 1 species
AGAGUUUGAUCCUGGCUCAGGGUGAACGCUGGCGGCGUGUCUAAGGCAUGCAAGUCGAAUGCUAGCUUGCUAGCAUGGCAAACGGGAGAGUAACACAUUGGUAACCUACCUUGAGGUCGAGGAUAACCCGAAGAAAUUCGGAAUAAUACUCGAUAAAAGUGGGGGGACGAAAGUCAUUCCUACUUAAAGCUCCGGCGCCUCAAGAGGGGCCUAUGACUUAUCAGCUUGUUGGUGAGGUAAAAGCUCACCAAGGCUAUGACGGGUAGCGGGUGUGAGAGCAUGACCCGUCUCACUGGGACUGAGACACUGCCCAGACUCCUACGGGAGGCUGCAGUCAAGAAUCUUCCUCAAUGGCCGAAAGGCUGAAGGAGCGACGCCGCGUGCAUGAAGAAGCCCUUCGGGGUGUAAAGUGCUUUUAUGUGGGACGAAACAAUGACGGUACCACAAGAAUAAGGGGCUGCUAACCUCGUGCCAGCAGCGGCGGUAAUACGAGGGCCCCAAGCGUUAUCCGGAUUUAUUGGGUGUAAAGGGUCCGCAGGCGGCCUAACGCAUCUCCUGUUAAAUCUAUCGGCUCAACCGGUAGGCUGCGGGAGAGAUGGUUAGGCUAGAGGCCGGGAGAGGUACACGGAAUUGCUGGUGUAGGGGUUAAAUCCUUUAAUAUCAGCAGGAACACCAAAUGCGAAGGCAGCGUACUAGAACGGUUCUGACGCUCAGGGACGAAAGCGUGGGGAGCGAAGGGGAUUAGAUACCCCCGUAGUCCACGCCGUAAACGAUGAAUGCUAAACAUUGGAAGUAUCGACCCUUCCAGUGUUGUCUACCUAAGCUAACGCCUUAAGCAUUCCACCUGGGGAGUACGAGCGCAAGCUUAAAACUCAAAGGAAUAGACGGGGACCCGCACAAGCGGUGGAGCAUGUGGUUUAAUUCGACAAUAAGCGAGGAACCUCACCCAGACUUGACAUCUAGCUGCAGACCCUAGGAAACUAGGGAGCCUUCGAGGGUGCUAGACAGGUGCUGCAUGGUUGUCGUCAGCUCGUGUCGUGAGAUGUACCGUUAAGUCGGAAAACGAGCGCAACCCCUAUCUUAUGUUUUAUAUGUCAUAAGAAACUGCCCGCUUUAAGUGGGAGGAAGGUGGGGAUGACGUCAAAUCAGCAUGGUCCUUACGUCUGGGGCGACACACGUGCUACAAUGGGAAGUACAAUGGGAC